CUGCCCACUGAUAAUAUUAAAGGGCCGCAGUAUCUUGACUGUGCAAAGGUAGCAUAAUCAUUAGCCCCUUAAUUAGGGGAUUGAAUGAAUGGCUUAACGAUUUAAUUUUUUAUUGUCCACACAAUAAAAUUUAAUUUUUUGGUGAAAAUUCCUUAUUGAUCUUUAAGGACGAUAAGACCCUAUAGAUCUUUAUUUUAGGGUUGUAAUUCAGUUUAGUUGAUAUAAGUACUUAUGGUUAUAUUUUUUUACUGGGGCAGUAGAAGAAAUAUUAUAUUUUCUUUGUAGUUUUUCCUGAGAGUGUUUUUGAAACUAUUAUUUUAAAUUUGAAAGUUACCUUAGGGAUAACAGCGUAAUAGGUUUAGUGAGUUCAUAUUAAUAAACUUUCUUGCGACCUCGAUG
rnacentral:rRNA from 1 species